rnacentral:rRNA from 1 species
CAGUAGCCGCGGGAAUACGUAGGGUGCAAGCGUUAAUCGGAGUUACUGGGCGUAAAGCGUGCGCAGGCGGUUAUAUUAGUCAGAUGUGAAAUCCCCGGGCUCAACCUGGGAACUGCAUUUGAGACUGUAUGGCUAGAGUGUGUCAGAGGGGGGUAGAAUUCCACGUGUAGCAGUGAAAUGCGUAGAUAUGUGGAGGAAUACCGAUGGCGAAGGCAGCCCCCUGGGAUAACACUGACGCUCAUGCACGAAAGCGUGGGGAGCAAACAGGAUUAGAUACCCCCGUAGUCCCUGUCUCUUAUAC